UCUUCUUCUCCGUCAUUUCCGUUCCAGACAUGUUCACUGCCAAGCAUCCGCUGAUAGCCUGAGAUCAUGCGGAUCUGCUCCAGUAACGCGUGGUUAGGCGCGCUCUGCAGGUAUUAGGUAUUGACGGCGAUGGAGACGCUCGGAUUUCCAUGACUUCGCGGUCUACGUGGUGGAGCUGCUAUCUACGUCGAGUGCGCUCGUGGAUCUGCAGAACAGGUCGUAGUUGGUUCUCGCAUGGCUCGGUUGGUGCUCGCGGUGGCUCGCGCUUUCCAGUGAUGUGGUUGCAGUACGUGGCUGACGCGUUUUGGGGCUCGCGUUUUGCGGCGUCGUGCGAUGGUUGACGAAGUCCGGUGCCGCCUCGGUGAGGCUGCUGGUCGUGGCCCGAUCUCCGGCAGGUGGACGGAGGAGCUGCUCCGGUAAUAGUUGACGGUGGUCUCCUGAGGUCUAGGGGAAAAGACGAAGAUGACGUGGAGAUGACGUGGGGGUACUUGAUUAGACGGAUUUUUAGGUGGAGGUACUAGCACGUGGCAGCUCUUAAUUACUCAGAUUUAAAUGUUAAGAUAGUGACACGUAAGCCUUAGUAGUUGAAAAUGAAUAAUGAUAUUUAGACAACAUUUUUCUGACAACAUUUGAACAUUGAUUACGUGUCAAUAUGUGAUUGGUCAAAAAUCACUCCACAAUAAUGUUUAUGAUUAUUAUUAUUGAUUGUGAAGUGAUUUUUGACCAAUCACAUAUUGACACGUAAUCAAUGUUCAAAUGUUGUCAGAAAAAUGUUGUCUAGAUAUCAUUAUCCUAAUUUUUUAUACAUGAAUUUUUUCGUUUCAAUUUCGGUUAUUUCUUAAGAUAUUUUAAGGGAUUAUACUAAUUUUUAAUAA
rnacentral:lncRNA from 1 species